rnacentral:sRNA from 1 species
GCGUGAGCCACCGCGCCCGGCCGAUUCCAGUGUCUUAUACUCUGAAGGGACUCGUGAGGGAAGAGGAGAGAGCUGGGUACGGACAUUGCUGCAGGAGAAGAGGUUGCCAUCAAGCUUGAAUGUGUCAAAACCAAACACCCUCAGCUCCACAUUGAGAGCAAAAUCUACAAGAUGAUGCAGGGAGGAGUGGGCAUCCCCACCAUCAGAUGGUGCGGGGCAGAGGGGGACUACAACGUCAUGGUGAUGGAGCUGCUGGGGCCAAGCCUGGAGGACCUCUUCAACUUCUGCUCCAGGAAAUUCAGCCUCAAAACCGUCCUGCUGCUUGCUGACCAAAUGGUAAGGACUGUUUCCUGACAGUUGGCACACACUUGCUGUCUGAUAGAAUCAGCCACUCGCUUGUGCUGUUCUUGCCAUUAUUAUGGCCGUUAAUUCACAGAGGAAAUGGAAAUGUGCUGAGCCUCAGCCUU